GAUGGUGUUCUACAAAGAAUGGCUGAUGCUUUUCUUGGGCCUUGGGACUUUCUGGUGUAUUUCAGAUUGUCUGGGGAAAACUGCAGCUCUGAAAAAACUCAGUUCAAAUAAACCUAAAACUGCAAGACAGGUUCUUGUGGGACAAACACGUCAACAUGGGGAAGACCCUCCAUCUUUGGAAGAUGCAGAGAAAGAGCAGGGAUAUUAUCUCCAGCAACUGUUCCAUCUCUAUGGGGAGAAUGAUACCUUGUCUUAUCGUGGACUUACUCAGCUUCUACAAAAUCUAGGACUUGGCAAAGUGCAGGUA